rnacentral:rRNA from 1 species
AUUGAACGCUGGCGGCAUGCCUUACACAUGCAAGUCGAACGGCAGCACGGGAGCAAUCCUGGUGGCGAGUGGCGAACGGGUGAGUAAUAUAUCGGAACGUGCCCAGUCGUGGGGAUAACGUAGCGAAAGCUACGCUAAUACCGCAUACGAUCUAUGGAUGAAAGCGGGGGAUCGCAAGACCUCGCGCGAUUGGAGCGGCCGAUAUCAGAUUAGGUAGUUGGUGAGGUAAAGGCUCGCCAAGCCGACGAUCUGUAGCUGGUCUGAGAGGACGACCAGCCACACUGGGACUGAGACACGGCCCAGACUCCUACGGGAGGCAGCAGU